rfam:Triticum aestivum genome assembly, contig: Triticum_aestivum_CS42_TGACv1_scaffold_375118_5AL
AUAUUACUCCCUCCGUCCCAAAAUUUUUGUCUUCGAUUUAUCUAGAUACGGAUGUAUCUAAUACUAAAAUGUGAAUAGAUACAUCCGUAUGUAGACAAAUCUAAGACAAGAAUUUUGAAACUGAGGGAGUAGUAU